rnacentral:rRNA from 1 species
AUUCCAGCUCCAAUAGCGUAUAUUAAAGUUGUUGCGGUUAAAAAGCUCGUAGUUGGAUUUCUGCUGAGGACGACCGGUCCGCCCUCUGGGUGAGUAUCUGGCUCGGCCUUGGCAUCUUCUUGGGGAACGUAACUGCACUUGACUGUGUGGUGCGGUAUCCAGGACUUUUACUUUGAGGAAAUUAGAGUGUUUCAAGCAGGCGCACGCCUUGAAUACAUUAGCAUGGAAUAAUAAGAUAGGACCUUGGUUCUAUUUUGUUGGUUUCUAGAGCUGAGGUAAUGAUUAAUAGGGACAGUUGGGGGUAUUCGUAUUUCAUUGUCAGAGGUGAAAUCCUUGGAUUUCUGAAAGACGAACUACUGCGAAAGCAUUUACCAAGGAUGUUUUCAUUA